GAAUUUGGACAAUGGUCGGGAGACUGAUCCAGCCAUGCCGCGUGCAGGAAGACUGCCCUAUGGGUUGUAAACUGCUUUUGUACAAGAAGAAUAAGAGGUACGUGUACCUUGAUGACGGUAUUGUACGAAUAAGCAUCGGCUAACUCCGUGCCAGCAGCCGCGGUAAUACGGAGGAUGCAAGCGUUAUCCGGAAUCAUUGGGUUUAAAGGGUACGUAGGCGGGCUGUUAAGUCAGGGGUGAAAGUUUGCCGCUUAACGGGAAAAUUGCCUUUGAUACUGGCGGUCUUGAAUGUGUGUGAAGUGAUUAGAAUAUGUAGUGUACCGGUGAAAUGCAUAGAUAUUACAUAGAAUACCGAUUGCGAAGGCAGGUCACUAACACAUUAUUGACGCUGAUGGACGAAAGCGUGGGUAGCGAACAGGAUUAGAUACCCUGGUAGUCCACGCCGUAAACGAUGGAUACUAGCUGUUGGGAUGUACGUCUCACUGGCUAAGCGAAAGUGAUAAGUAUCCCACCUGGGGAGUACGUUCGCAAGAAUGAAACUCA
rnacentral:rRNA from 1 species